CAUCAGAAGGAGCGUCAGACAUAUUGUCAAACGUGAAGCAGUCAUUGAUUUCAUUUAGGGGAAGGAAUGGUAACCCGAAAAAAUGGGAUAGCCAUUUACCAAUGAUGCUUAAAAUUUGUCUUUAUACUCUGUGCUCAGCCCAUGUAAAAGUAUUAACUUACCUGUAACUUACCUGUAAAUCCAAUUAGGAGAAAAAUAAAA
rnacentral:lncRNA from 1 species